rnacentral:rRNA from 1 species
CNNUCUUGGUCAUUUAGAGGAAGUAAAAGUCGUAACAAGGUCUCCGUUGGUGAACCAGCGGAGGGAUCAUUACUGAGUUUACGCUCUAUAACCCUUUGUGAACAUACCUAUAACUGUUGCUUCGGCGGGUAGGGUCUCCGCGACCCUCCCGGCCUCCCGCCUCCGGGCGGGUCGGCGCCCGCCGGAGGAUAACCAAACUCUGAUUUAACGACGUUUCUUCUGAGUGGUACAAGCAAAUAAUCAAAACUUUUAACAACGGAUCUCUUGGUUCUGGCAUCGAUGAAGAACGCAGCGAAAUGCGAUAAGUAAUGUGAAUUGCAGAAUUCAGUGAAUCAUCGAAUCUUUGAACGCACAUUGCGCCCGCCAGCAUUCUGGCGGGCAUGCCUGUUCGAGCGUCAUUUCAACCCUCAAGCUCUGCUUGGUGUUGGGGCCCUACAGCUGAUGUAGGCCCUCAAAGGUAGUGGCGGACCCUCCCGGAGCCUCCUUUGCGUAGUAACUUUACGUCUCGCACUGGGAUCCGGAGGGACUCUUGCCGUAAAACCCCCCAANUCCAAAGGUGACCUCGAUCAGGU